GAUGAACGCUGGCGGCGUGCCUAAUACAUGCAAGUCGAGCGAAUGGAUUAAGAGCUUGCUCUUAUGAAGUUAGCGGCGGACGGGUGAGUAACACGUGGGUAACCUGCCCAUAAGGCUGGGAUAACUCCGGGAAACCGGGGCUAAUACCGGAUAACAUUUUGAACCGCAUGGUUCGAAAUUGAAAGGCGGCUUCGGCUGUCACUUAUGGAUGGACCCGCGUCGCAUUAGCUAGUUGGUGAGGUAACGGCUCACCAAGGCAACGAUGCGUAGCCGACCUGAGGGGGUGAUCGGCCACACUGGGGCUUAGACACGGCCCAGACUCCUACUGGAGGCAGCAGGAGGGCAACUUCCGCAAUGGACGAAAGUCUGACGGAGGAACGCCGCGUGAGUGAUGAAGGCUUUCGGGUCGUAAAACUCUGUUGUUAGGGAAGAACAAGUGCUAGUUGAAUAAGCCGGCACCUUGACGGUACCUAACCAGAAAGCCACGGCUAACUACGUGCCAGCCGCCGCCGUAA
rnacentral:rRNA from 1 species